AGCGUUUGAUCCUGGCUCAGAUUGAACGCUGGCGGCAUGCUUUACACAUGCAAGUCGAACGGCAGCACGAGUGCUUGCACUUGGUGGCGAGUGGCGAACGGGUGAGUAAUGCAUCGGAACGUGUCUUAAAGUGGGGGAUAACGCAUCGAAAGAUGUGCUAAUACCGCAUAUACUCUGAGGAGGAAAGUAGGGGAUCGAAAGACCUUAUGCUUUGAGAGCGGCCGAUGUCUGAUUAGCUAGUUGGUAAGGUAAAGGCUUACCAAGGCGACGAUCAGUAGUUGGUCUGAGAGGACGACCAGCCACACCGGGACUGAGACACGGCCCAGACUCCUACGGGAGGCAGCAGUGGGGAAUUUUGGACAAUGGGCGAAAGCCUGAUCCAGCAAUGCCGCGUGAGUGAAGAAGGCCUUCGGGUUGUAAAGCUCUUUCAGUCGAGAAGAAAAAAUUAUGAUUAAUAAUUAUAAUUGAUGACGGUAUCGACAGAAGAAGCACCGGCUAACUACGUGCCAGCAGCCGCGGUAAUACGUAGGGUGCGAGCGUUAAUCGGAAUUACUGGGCGUAAAGGGUGCGCAGGCAGUUUUGUAAGUCAGAUGUGAAAUCCCCGGGC
rnacentral:rRNA from 1 species